GGCAACUAUUAACUUAUCGUUGCGGUCACUCGGCUUAUUUUUAGUUGGAUAAUUUGACUCAGUCGGAUUUGUUACUUGUAUUUUCGGCGCGGUAAUUUUAUCAACACGAACAACAAGUCGUGAUUAAAGACGUACUGUACCAAACGUUUCAUUUUCGUGACAGGCCUUCGCUUGAAAUGUCGAAGUCGAAUAUCUGUUCAUGGCUUAAGUCGCAAGUUUAAAGAUUUUGUAGCUGCUGAAUCUGUGUGGUCGAGGGCAUAGUUUAUACAGGCGAAGAAUUAGUUUAUACAGUACAACUACAAGACAAGAUACUGUACGACCUUUCUUCACGAAGGACGAUGCUGAACUAUAUAUAUACCAAAGUUUUAAAGACCGCCGGACGAACGAGAUCGCAUGAGAGUUGAUAGUCACGCGACUUUGGUUAGCUGUUUUAAUGCUUCUCCAAACACUAUCAUGUAUUCUAUCAUAGUUAAAACAUAGUUGGGACACUCAUCAAACCUGUAUUUUGUUAAUCUAAAGCUUGAAAUGUCCCCUGUGAAGAAUGCGUGACUAGCAAAUCUCAUAAACUCUCACUGACAAGGACUUAAUUCUUAAAGAUUGUUUAACUCGGUGGACUAAAUAUUGUUACAAAAGGUAAGAUACAUUUCAAUUUGUUUCAAUGUGUACCAUAGGUCUAAAAAGAUGAAACGGUAGCAAAC